CUCCUACGGGAGGCAGCAGUGGGGAAUCUUGCGCAAUGGGGGCAACCCUGACGCAGCGACGCCGCGUGCGGGAUGGAGGCCUUCGGGUCGUAAACCGCUUUCAGCAGGGACGAGACGAGACUGUACCUGCAGAAGAAGCCCCGGCUAACUACGUGCCAGCAGCCGCGGUAAUACGUAGGGGGCGAGCGUUAUCCGGAUUCAUUGGGCGUAAAGCGCGCGUAGGCGGCCGC
rnacentral:rRNA from 1 species